rnacentral:sRNA from 1 species
UAACAACUGUUGGUCAAUGUUACACCAACAAUGCGAUAUAACACUUGGGAGUGGAAGAUGAGCGAUAAAAUUGUUCAGCUGACCGAC